rnacentral:snoRNA from 10 species
GGCGGCCCUUAUCACAGCUGCAGCUGCUUCCACAUAGCUGCUGCGGUCAAAAAGGAGCCCAGAGUCAGUUUCCUUGACCAUCACCAUUCUGUUUGCUAUAAGUGAUCUGUAACAUUUUGCGAAAAUACAGUU